rnacentral:lncRNA from 1 species
CUUAUUCAUGUGAAUCCCUGAGCGACGUGCAUCCCAGGCAGAGGAAAGAGCCAGUGCAAAGAUCAGGAGGCUAAAGCCUACCGAGUGUGUUUGAGGAACAGGAAGGAUAGGGAUAAGGCCUGGUGAAGAACGAAUCAAUUCCCAACAGCAGUAGAAAUGGGGAAAGAGGGCAGCAUUGCAUAUUACCUCAAGCUUCUCUCUUACCCUAACAUGAACCUCAGCGUGUCCUAAACCUCGGUGCUGGUACACUAAACAUUUAGCAGAAAAGUCAGAGGAAGUAACUGAUCCUAUCAACAUGGUUUAAGAAGGUAAGCAUGAAUUCAGCUAACUAUCUUUUCUUUCUCCAAUAAACAUCCCAUCUGGGUUUCAUCUGACUGCUUUAAUUCUUCACAUACGGA